GGGUCAGUAGGUUGGUCGUGCCACCGGUACGUACUGGUCUCACUGAUUCCUCCUUCCUGAAGAACCGUAAUGCCAUUAAUUUGGUGUUGCGGGGAAACAGGACUGUUACUUUGAAAAAAUUAGAGUGUUUAAAGCAAGCUAACGCUUGAAUACAUUAGCAUGGAAUAAUGAAAUAGGACGAUCGAUCCUAUUAUGCUGGUUUCUAGGAUUGACGUA
rnacentral:rRNA from 1 species